UACGUAGGGUGCAAGCGUUGUCCGGAAUUAUUGGGCGUAAAGAGCUCGUAGGCGGUGUGUCGCGUCUGCUGUGAAAACUCAGGGCUCAACUCUGAGCUUGCAGUGGGUACGGGCACACUUGAGUGCGGUAGGGGAGACUGGAAUUCCUGGUGUAGCGGUGAAAUGCGCAGAUAUCAGGAGGAACACCGGUGGCGAAGGCGGGUCUCUGGGCCGUAACUGACGCUGAGGAGCGAAAGCAUGGGGAGCGAACAGG
rnacentral:ncRNA from 2 species